ACUCUCUCUCACACACACACACACACACACACACACUCUCUCUCUCUCUAAUAUAAUACUGCAAUUGUUGCAUACGUGUUGGUCGAAUGAAUCAAUAUAUAAAUACAGAUAGAGGCACAGAAAGAAGUAAUUUGUGAUUGAAGCGAGUGAAAUGUGCAGCAAUUACAUACCACGAAUCCAACCAAUAAACACUCACAGACAUUGUAGAGAGAGAAAGAUGAAUAAUGAAAUUGUAAAUAAAAAAUGGUGAACUAGCAUUUUCUGCAUUAUAUUUCAUCUCAAACGCACAUGGGUUCUUCAGUUUCUUACUCUUUCUCUCACAGCAUUUUUCUUGGUUUUUAAUGUUUAUCUGAGUUUUUCAAUUUUUUUGUUUUUUCCACUGCACAUGCACUCCUCUCUCUCUUCAUACAUUUUCUAUGGUCUCCAAAAACUUGGCUAUUAUUAUUUUUUCAUUGACUGAGUACUUCAAAGAUAUUCUUUCAGAUCUACGUUGAAAAGUUUUGGCCCCGAAUGAACUUGCCUGCCCUUAUGUUCUUCUUGAACCAGAG
rnacentral:lncRNA from 1 species